GGGAACCUAACCUGGGCCCAUGUGGGCAUUACCUUAGCUAUAUUACCUUAACCAGGGUUAGAGGCAAAGCCCAAGUAAAUACCACUUUAAUGGUGGGAAUGCUGGGCUGUGGACCCCGACAGGCACCAGCCACAUUUGUUGCCACUGCUGCCAGGCUGGCACCAGGGCACUGCCAUGGUCAGCAAAAGAGCCCAGGUCUUCAGCAGUGAAGAAUUCCUGGAUUCCUGUUUCCAUGCCCUGAACUGACACCUGGAGGACCGCUUGUUUCCCUUGCUCCUUCUCACACACACUCACUAUAGAUGAAAAGGAAUAUAAGGUACCCAGUUUGAGAAGCUAGAACACUAAAUCUCAGAGAAGACUGGAAUGGAGGUCAUCCAUUUGGGUGCAACCAGAUGUCUUUGUCCACUGCUAUCGGUUCAGGCAAGGGCUGGUCACAGUGGGCUUCUCCUCAAAAUACCAGUUUAUUUUCUCACUCUC